ensembl:lncRNA
AUGAGUGUUCUUUUAAAUCACGCUGGGAUUUGCAGUCUUUUUGACGUCUUACUCCCUCUGCAGAAGACCACCUCCAUUUUUCUCACCACCUGCAGCCCCUCCCGAGACCACCCCUCACCAGAAAGCAAGUUCCACAAGGCCAGUGACCUCAUCUCUCUGAAUCACCACUGUGUUCCCAAGGCUUAGAUCUGUGCCUGGCAUGUAGUAGGUACACAACAAAUAAUUGUUGAAUAAAUAGUGAUAACAUCCACUAACAGGAAAGCAGUUUGGAGAUUUCUCAAAGAAUUAAAACUAGAACUACCAUUUGACCCAGCAAUCCCAUUACUGGGUGUAUGCCCAAAGGAAAAGAAAUCAUUCUGUAAGAAAGACACGUGCACUCAUGCAUUCUAUAAGAAAGACACAUGCAGCACUAUUCACAUUAACAAGGACAUGGAAUCAACCUGGGUGCCCAUCAGUGGUGGACUGGAUAAAGAAAAUGUGGCACAUUACACCAUGGAAUUCCACAUAGCCAUAAAAAAAAGAAUGAAAUCGGCCGGGCGCGGUGGCUCACGCCUGUAAUCCUAGAACUUUGGGAAGCCGAGGCGGGUGGAUCACGAGCUCAAGAGAUCGAGAUCAUCCUGAUCAACAUGGUGAAAGCCCGUCUCUACUAAAAAUACAAAAAAUCAGCUGGGCAUGGUGGCACGUGCCUGUAAUCCCAGCUACUCAGGAGGCUGAGGCAGGAGAAUUGCCUGAACCCAGGAGGCGGAGGUUACAGUGAGCCGAGAUUGCGCCAUUGCACUCCAGCCUGGGUAACAGGAGCAAAACUCUGUCUCAAAAAAAAAAAGAAUAAAAUCAUGUCCUUUGCAGCAACAUGGAUGCAAGCUGGAGGCCAUUAUCUUAAGAGAUUAAUGCAGAAACAGAAAACCAAAUACAGCAUGUUCUCAUAAGUGGAAACUAAACAUUGGGUACACAGGGCAUAAAGAUGGAAACAGUUAACACUGGGGACCACAAGCAUCUAUUGACAGGAGAGCAGGAGAGAGGCGAGGUUUGAAAAACUAUUUGCUGGAUACCAUAUUUGCUAUCUGAGUGACCCAAACCAUCAUGCAAUAUACCCAGGUAACAAACCUGUAUCUGUACCCUUGACUCUAAUAUAAACGUUGAAAUUUUUAAGAAGAUUCAGGUUAAAGAAAUCAAGACCAUCCUGGCCAAGAGUGAAACUCCAUCUCUCCUAAAAGUACAAAAAUUAGCUGGGCGUUGUGGCAUGUGCCUAUAGUCCUAGCUACUUAGGAGGCUGAGGCAGGAGAAUCACUUGAACCUGAGAGGCAGAGGUUGCAGUGAGCUGAGAUCAUGCCACUGUACUCCAGUCUUCUAGCCUGGUGACACAGUGAGAUUCUGUCUAUAAAAAAAAUGCAGUUUAAAAAAAUAGUCAAAAUGGAAUAUGAGAACUUUCAGCACGACCUCUUUAAUUUUUAUGUUAAUUCAAAACUGUUCUAUAUAAUGUCUAUUAAUUUUUAAAAAUCUGGUAGCCCUGUUUCAGAAGAUCAAUUUUACCUAAUGUCUAACAGAUAAAUGGCUGAACAUUAUAUUGAGAUGUUGUUUACUAUUAAAAGUGAACCAAAUAUCAAAUUGUCAGUAUAUCUACAUGUCUGUAGUUGUAGCACUACUGAUUAUUGAUUGACUUAAUAAACUUAAGUUUGCACACAUGAAAUAAAAGAAGAAUACAGUAUAGCAAAAAACAAAACAAAACAACAAAACCAAAACAUUGACUAAUACUUCCUGAGUGCUUAUUAGGCUCUAGGUACUCUGCUGAUUACUUCUCAUGGUUUACAUCAUUUAAACUCAGAGUAACACUAUGAGGUAGCUUCUAGUAUUCCACUUAAUAAGGAUGUGAUAAUAAUUAUUAAGGCUGUGCUC